rnacentral:misc_RNA from 1 species
GAACGCAUCUUGCGCCCCGUGGCAUUCCGCGGGGCAUGUCUGUUUGAGUGUCGUUUGACCUCUCAACCGCUUUGGUAUUCGAUUACAAAAGCCGGCUUGGAACUUGGGUGCCUCUGGCGAAACGCAAAAAGGGCCUCGGCCCUGUCGCCCACCCCAAAGUCAGUUGGGCCAACCGCGCGGAUGAGCGGACGGUUUGACCACAGUGUUGUAAGGUUCGCCUCACUGUCGGGACGUCCAUUUCCGUUAGCACGAAGGCAUCUGAAAUACGAUACUAUUGAUUUUGACCUCAAAUCAGACAGGAUUACCCGCUGAACUUAAG